GUCGAGAAUCUUUCACAAUGGGGGCAACCCUGAUGGAGCGACGCCGCGUGGAGGAUAAGGUCUUCGGAUUGUAAACUCCUGUCAUGCGCGAACAAGGUUGCUUGGUUAAUACCUGGGCAAAUUGAUGGUAACGCAAGAGGAAGAGACGGCUAACUCUGUGCCAGCAGCCGCGGUAAUACAGAGGUCUCAAGCGUUGUUCGGAAUCACUGGGCGUAAAGGGUGCGUAGGUGGCGUGGUAAGUCAGAUGUGAAAGCCCGGGGCUCAACCUCGGAACUGCAUCCGAUACUGCCAUGCUAGAGUACUGGAGAGGUGACUAGAAUUCUCGGUGUAGCAGUGAAAUGCGUAGAUAUCGAGAGGAAUACCAAAGGCGUAGGCAGGUCACUGGACAGUUACUGACACUGAGGCACGAAGGCCAGGGGAGCGAACGGGAUUAGAUACCCUAGUAGUCC
rnacentral:rRNA from 1 species